rnacentral:rRNA from 1 species
AACGAACGCUGGCGGCAUGCCUAACACAUGCCAGUCGAACGAGACCUUCGGGUCUAGUGGCGCACGGGUGCGUAACGCGUGGGAACCUGCCCUUAGGUUCGGAAUAACUCCCCGAAAGGGGUGCUAAUACCGGAUAAUGUCUUCGGACCAAAGAUUUAUCGCCUUUGGAUGGGCCCGCGUUGGAUUAGCUAGUUGGUAGGGUAAAAGCCUACCAAGGCGACGAUCCAAAGCUGGUCUGAGAGGAUGAUCAGCCACACUGGGACUGAGACACGGCCCAGACUCCUACGGGAGGCAGCAGUGGGGAAUAUUGGACAAUGGGCGAAAGCCUGAUCCAGCAAUGCCGCGUGAGUGAUGAAGGCCUUAGGGUUGUAAAGCUCUUUUACCCGGGAUGAUAAUGACAGUACCGGGAGAAUAAGCUCCGGCUAACUCCGUG